rnacentral:sRNA from 2 species
CCCCUCUGAGUACCUUGCAAUGACUUAGCGGUCAUCGGCCUGGAGCUAGUGCAGGGGAACCACCCUACUGGAUCCUAUCCGUGGUGCGGAGAACUGUGUGGAUGGGCAAGACACACACGCCUCCAAAAUGGGACUGAGCAUCCAGAGGGCCAGAGCUGGGAUGCGAACCGGAGCAAUUGAGCAACGAACGGGGAGUGGAGAAAUGGGAAGGUCAACGCAGGAACAGUUUCUACUCCGUACUCCCACCCGCUUCAUUUGCCACUCUACAUAACCCAGCAUGCAACAUGCACUGUGGAUGGAAUCGAGAUAUGGCUCUUGGACAGCUUCAAAAUUGGAGGCUAACCCUCCCGCUAAACCCCCAGGAAAAGUCAAAACAGAAAAUCUGAAACCAAAUUCCAGAAAAUAUGGGCUACAGGGGUGAUCGUCUUGGCCUGCAGCUCUCCUCCCCCCUCGAACUACGCAGUGCGCAGCAAGCAGAAAAAAUGUCCCCGAGAUAAAGCAAGAUGAAGAGUCACUGAACCUCCGUCCGGACAUCCCUUGGAUUUCAUAUUGUUAUUAACAGGGUAGCUUGCAAGCAUGAUACUAUAACAAGGAUCAUUCCUCUUCCCCACUGUCAUUUGAAAGGCAGGAUGUCGCGUGGCAACAAACGACUGAAUUUUUUGAAAAAAAAAAAAAAGCGAAGGAAUCUACAGAAAAAAAAGAAACAAUUCCAUCACAGGCUGCUUUAAACAGAACACAAUUACAUUCCUGCUAACUAUUUAGGCAUGGCGAUCAAAAACAAGAACAAAAAGAAAUGGGCCAGUGAACCUUCAAUUGAGGAAGGAGGAAUAAAUGAAAUUCGAUGUCAACCCUCCUGCAACAGAAAAGACAAACGAACUUGAUUUGCUCGGUAUGUCUCCAGUUAGAAAUCGAUUGCUACAGUCCAGCAUCUUGCUUGUGUAGACUUUUUGCUGCCUGGUGCAAGGACAAAUCGCCGCCUGACUGUUGCCUUGGUGGAUGCCAUAUCAACUGAGAAUCCAAAACUGCAUGUCAGGUUCAAGGUCGACCUGCAGUAUGGCAUUCCAUUAUUGAAUUGAUCGUGACUUUUCAUGCGAAUUUGAAUUCUAUCAUACAUAUGCUCUAUCCAUCUAUCAAAGAUAAGCAACCAUACAUAUAUGCACAUCCCAGACCGUGCACAAGAACCACGCAAGAGAAACAAUAUCCUUAGUCCCUCUCCUACCUACCCGAAUACUCAGUCCAACCUACUCAGACCGGGUCACGCUCCUCAAAUUCCCAAAACUCAACACAUCCCCAAUCCGCUUCGCCCCCGUAAACA